CACGUAGGGGGCGAGCGUUGUCCGGAUUUAUUGGGCGUAAAGAGCUCGUAGGCGGUUUCGUAAGUCGGGUGUGAAAACCCCAGGCUCAACCUGGGGACGCCACCCGAGACUGCGAUGACUAGAGUCCGGUAGGGGAGCGUGGAAUUCCUGGUGUAGCGGUGAAAUGCGCAGAUAUCAGGAGGAACACCAACGGCGAAGGCAGCGCUCUGGGCCGGAACUGACGCUGAGGA
rnacentral:rRNA from 1 species